AAAUCACAGACAAGUGGCCUCUCGUGAUGCUGAUGCCAUCACCUCUCUAGCUUGCUCCACACUUAGCCUCCAGCUCCCGUGACUCAUUUUGUCUUUAGUUGACAAUUCCUGUUUUCUCCCCAUUGGAUGACACCCAAAGAUUCACCAGAGGACUGGAACCAUGUUGGACAGGGAUUCAGGAGGACCUGUGCUUUGGACAUGUACUGUGUGAUUAUGGGCAAGUGAUAGCAUCUCUGAGGAUCAGUUCCAUUGGCUGUGAACAAAGGGUCAAAUACAAAAUCUUCUGUUUGGCAGUCAAAGCCCUUCAUAACCCAGGAGCCUCCUGCCUUUCCACUUGCCUCAGACCUCCGUCACCAACACAUCCUCUUUGGUCUGAUGACACCGGCCUCCUGGAUGCUGCUCAAACUUGACACUCCAUCCUUCUGCUCCCGGCAUUUUCUCUGAUCCUCCUCCAUGCCCGGAAUACCCUCCCUCCUCAUCUUUGCCUCCUGAUCUUCCUGGCUUCCUUCAAGUCUCAGCUAAAAUCUCACCUUCUAGAGGAAGCCUCCCUCUGUUCACUGUUCAUUAUUGUAAAUGGGUUAAAUAUGAU
rnacentral:lncRNA from 1 species